AUUUACAAGUCCCAAACAGGACGAAACGCGCGUCCUGGAU
rnacentral:hammerhead_ribozyme from 1 species